rnacentral:rRNA from 1 species
CCUACGUGAGGCUGCAGUGGGGAAUAUUGGACAAUGGGGGGAACCAUGAUCCAGCGACGCCGCGUGAGUGAAGAAGUAUUUCGGUAUGUAAAGCUCUAUCAGCAGGGAAGAAAGAAAUGACGGUACCUGACUAAGAAGCCCCGGCUAACUACGUGCCAGCAGCCGCGGUAAUACGUAGGGGGCAAGCGUUAUCCGGAUUUACUGGGUGUAAAGGGAGCGUAGACGGCGAUGCAAGUCUGAAGUGAAAGGCGGGGGCCCAACCUCCGGACUGCUUUGGAAACUGUAUGGCUGGAGUGCAGGAGAGGUAAGUGGAAUUCCUAGUGUAGCGGUGAAAUGCGUAGAUAUUAGGAGGAACACCAGUGGCGAAGGCGGCUUACUGGACUGUAACUGACGUUGAGGCUCGAAAGCGUGGGGAGCAAACAGGAUUAGAUACCCCAGUAGUC